rnacentral:misc_RNA from 1 species
GAUGAAGAACGCAGCGAAAUGCGAUAAGUAAUGUGAAUUGCAGAAUUCCGUGAAUCAUCGAAUCUUUGAACGCACAUUGCGCCCCCUGGCAUUCCGGGGGGCAUGCCUGUCCGAGCGUCAUUUCUGCCCUCAAGCACGGCUUGUGUGUUGGGUGUGGUCCCCCCGGGGACCUGCCCGAAAGGCAGCGGCGACGUCCGUCUGGUCCUCGAGCGUAUGGGGCUCUGUCACUCGCUCGGGAAGGACCUGCGGGGGUUGGUCACUACUAUAUUUUACCACGGUUGACCUCGGAUCAGGUAGGAGUUACCCGCUGAACUUAAGCAUAUCAAUAAGCGGAGGA